AAGCAAAGUUGUUGGGCUUACAUGCCACCAGAGCUGUUGAGAGAUGUGUUGGUGAGGAUCGAAGAAUCUGAGAGUACCUGGCCCCCCAGAAAGAAUGUGGUUGCUUGUGCUGGAGUUUGUAGGAGUUGGAGGGACAUAAUGAAGGAAAUUGUGAAGACGCCAAAAAUUUCUGGACAGUUGACUUUCCCCAUCUCCCUCAAGCAGGUAUGAGCCCGGGUGUUAAAAAUUGCUCCGAUUCUAUUAUUUGUUGAUUUUACAAUGUCUCAGCUGACGAUGUUACAUUCUAUUGGUGAUUGUCAUUGGUUAGUUUGUUAUGAUGGUUUUAUAGUUCCAAUAUCCUUUGUUUGUUUUAAUCUGAGUAUGUUUAGGAGAAAAGGAUAUAAUCCAGGAACGCAGCAGUUAAGAGGAUUUUAACGUGCUAGUUAAGUACAGUAAGUUUUACUCACAAGUAUGCGUAGCCACAUUGUGUACAUGCUCAAGGGCCAAUGCACAUUGAUUUGGAUUAUUGAACGAUCAUACACAGAAAGGAACUAUAAAGCAUGUCUUUUGAUUGCUAUUUGACUCGAAUAUAACAUGAGUUCACGUCCAAUAGGUGGUGCUAAGUUCUAUGUUUUGAUCUGAUUAUAAGUUGUCCUCAAUUUUUCAGAAUUUUGUUUGCUGUUUGGAACUGUCGAUAUUUUUCUUCCAAAUUUUAUGCUUCAUUAAUAUAUGGAGUAAUUAAUAGCUUAUCAAACGUGUGUUUUAUUCCUACAGACACAAUACAGAAUAUCUUGUUAGAUUCAGUGUUAAUGAGAACGGGUCUGCACGGAUUGUUGUUUUGGAUAUUUGGGGGGUGUGGGUGUGGCAGCAGGCUGUGAGGGGCUUGUAGAUGGACCUGUCUGCCAGAGCUUGAAGAUGGACCAUCUACAAGGCUUACUGUGAUGAACCCUUUUGAUAUUCUUAAUUAUCCUCCUAAUUAGUUCAUAGCAAUCAGGCAAUAUUCUUUGUAAAACAAAAAGUAUUGAGAAUCAACCUGGGCAAAGUGAACUCUUUAGUAUGGCUUGGACUUAGUCUGUAUGUUGAGUUGAAAAUGUUGUUCUGUAGAGUUUCAUUUUUCUUCUUUCAUUUGCUCUCGUGACUGCUCACUUUGCUGUCUUUGAGUAUUAGAAAUUGAGAAAUAUGAUGAGCAACAAGUUUACCAAUUCGACAAGUUAUUGGGCCAUUUUUUAUUUGAUUUUCACUCUUUCAAAAAAGUACAAUUGUGAACCAAUUUAGUUUUGCAGUUAUGUAACUCUUCAGGUGUUUGCAUUGUAUCCAAAAAGGAAAGAUAUUGAAGAUGACAGUAGUAGGUAGUAAAUUUAUAAGUGUCACGAGCCUCGGACAUGGGUAAAUCAUGCUUAGUUCCUCUAGAAUUUAUGCUGUAAAAGAGCAAUUCAUUUCUCCAAAUAUAUUCAGUUCUCAGUGUUGAUGGAAAUUGUUGGACUCAUAGGAUAAUGCUUCAACUUGCACUUGAUGGAAAGAGUGAACACCCAAUCUCUAGAAAUUUUGGUGGCAAAAAGCAAUUCUUUAGUUAUAUCAUUCUGCAAACAGCAAUGCAGGUCACUUUUGAAUUAGUCUACCACUGCUGCUUAGUGUUGAUUUUGGGUUGAUAUUUUUUUCCCUUGCUGUAUAAGAUGGAUCCAACAGAAUUCCUGCUUUACAGAAAUGCUUAAUUGUGAGCAUUAAAUUGAUUUUCUUUGAAACUGACAUGUGCAUUACUCUGGAGGAUAUUCUUUUAUUUCUCAAAUCACAUGGUGCCUUCUGCAGCCGGGUCCAAGAGGUCCACUGAUCCAGUGUUUCAUAAAAAGGAAUCGCAGCAACCAAACGUAUCAUCUUUAUCUCAGUUUAAAUCAAGGUAAUUGGUGGAUGUGUUGGAACUUGUAUCGCUUAUUGUGCAUUCACCCAGUUAGUUUUGUUUAAUUACAACUCUUUCUGUGUAUUGGAGCAUAACUAACUACAAAGCUUGGGAUUUUCUGUGUUUCAAGUGAUCUACAUGUCUUUGCUGCUUGAAGCUGCAAGGAGCUUUGAAUAAAAUUCCUAGCUAUAACGUUGUCUUUGUCAUUCUUGUGAUUGUUUGACAGCUUCAAAUGAUGAUGGUAAGUUUCUUCUUGCUGCACGGAGAUGUAGGCGCCCAACUUGUACAGAUUACAUCAUCUCUCUAAAUGCUGAAGAUGUCUCAAAGGGUAGCAGUACUUACAUUGGAAAGCUCAGGUAAGGUCUACUGGGCGCUAAAGUGCACUGCUUUCUAAGCUCUUCCAGUCUGAGGUCAGCUUAUCCUCCUUCAUGGCAGGUCAAACUUUCUUGGGACCAAAUUCACAAUCUAUGAUGCACAGCCUCCAAGCACUGGAGGUAGGGUGACUAAAUUUCGUUCCACAAAGCUAGUUGGAAUGAAACAAGUCUCUCCUAGAGUUCCUGCUGGGAACUUUCCUGUAGCCCACAUAUCUUAUGAGUUAAAUGUCCUGGGUUCGAGGUAAGGUUUGUGCUUUUUAGUAGUUAGAACUCUCACUGGUCGAUAAGAAUGUAUAUGAGUACAGAUCUAUUCCUGCAAAUUUAAGUGUGUUUCUUUUCAGUUGCUAUGUGCUGUGCACCUGGUAUCUCAUUGGGCAGUUGUUGAUUAGUCUCUAUGUUUUUUUACUGGCUAAAUAAACUAUGUAACUGGUAAUCAGGGGACCAAGGAGAAUGCACUGUGCUAUGGAUGCAAUCCCUGCUUCUGCUAUUGAACCAGAUGGUGUUGCCCCUACACAAACUGAGUUUCUUCCUGGUGUUAGUGAUUCCUUUCCUUCCCUCCCUUUCUUCAGAUCAAAGUCGUCUUCUCGCACGGAUAUUUUUCAUGCCAGACCCAUGUCAACUGAUAAGGAUGAUAUGUUAGUGUUG
rnacentral:lncRNA from 1 species